GGUUAAGCGACUAAGCGUACACGGUGGAUGCCCUGGCAGUCAGAGGCGAUGAAGGACGUGCUAAUCUGCGAAAAGCGUCGGUAAGGUGAUAUGAACCGUUACAGCCGGCGAUGUCCGAAUGGGGAAACCCAGUGCAAUUCGUUGCACUAUCGUUAACUGAAUACAUAGGUUAACGAGGCGAACCGGGGGAACUGAAACAUCUAAGUACCCCGAGGAAAAGAAAUCAACCGAGAUUCCCCCAGUAGCGGCGAGCGAACGGGGAGCAGCCCAGAGUCUGAAUCAGCUUGUGUGUUAGUGGAACGGUCUGGAAAGUCCGACGGUACAGGGUGAUAGUCCCGUACACCAAAAUGCACAGGUUGUGAACUCGAAGAGUAGGGCGGGACACGUGGUAUCCUGUCUGAAUAUGGGGGGACCAUCCUCCAAGGCUAAAUACUCCUGACUGACCGAUAGUGAACCAGUACCGUGAGGGAAAGGCGAAAAGAACCCCGGCGAGGGGAGUGAAAAAGAACCUGAAACCGUGUACGUACAAGCAGUGGGAGCACCUUCGGGUGUGACUGCGUACCUUUUGUAUAAUGGGUCAGCGACUUAUAUUCUGUAGCAAGGUUAACCGUAUAGGGGAGCCGCAGGGAAACCGAGUCUUAACUGGGCGUUAAGUUGCAGGGUAUAGACCCGAAACCCGGUGAUCUAGCCAUGGGCAGGUUGAAGGUUGGGUAACACUAACUGGAGGACCGAACCGACUAAUGUUGAAAAAUUAGCGGAUGACUUGUGGCUGGGGGUGAAAGGCCAAUCAAACCGGGAGAUAGCUGGUUCUCCCCGAAAGCUAUUUAGGUAGCGCCUCGUGAACUCAUCUUCGGGGGUAGAGCACUGUUUCGGCUAGGGGGUCAUCCCGACUUACCAACCCGAUGCAAACUACGAAUACCGAAGAAUGUUAUCACGGGAGACACACGGCGGGUGCUAACGUCCGUCGUGAAGAGGGAAACAACCCAGACCGCCAGCUAAGGUCCCAAAGUCAUGGUUAAGUGGGAAACGAUGUGGGAAGGCACAGACAGCCAGGAUGUUGGCUUAGAAGCAGCCAUCAUUUAAAGAAAGCGUAAUAGCUCACUGGUCGAGUCGGCCUGCGCGGAAGAUGUAACGGGGCUAAACCAUGCACCGAAGCUGCGGCAGCGACACGAUGUGUUGUUGGGUAGGGGAGCGUUCUGUAAGCCUGCGAAGGUGGCCUGUGAGGGUUGCUGGAGGUAUCAGAAGUGCGAAUGCUGACAUAAGUAACGAUAAAGCGGGUGAAAAGCCCGCUCGCCGGAAGACCAAGGGUUCCUGUCCAACGUUAAUCGGGGCAGGGUGAGUCGACCCCUAAGGCGAGGCCGAAAGGCGUAGUCGAUGGGAAACAGGUUAAUAUUCCUGUACUUGGUGUUACUGCGAAGGGGGGACGGAGAAGGCUAUGUUAGCCGGGCGACGGUUGUCCCGGUUUAAGCAUGUAGGCUGGUUAUCCAGGCAAAUCCGGAUAAUCAAGGCUGAGGUGUGAUGACGAGGCACUACGGUGCUGAAGUAACAAAUGCCCUGCUUCCAGGAAAAGCCUCUAAGCAUCAGGUAACAUCAAAUCGUACCCCAAACCGACACAGGUGGUCAGGUAGAGAAUACCAAGGCGCUUGAGAGAACUCGGGUGAAGGAACUAGGCAAAAUGGUGCCGUAACUUCGGGAGAAGGCACGCUGGUGUGUAGGUGAAGUCCCUGCGGAUGGAGCUGAGACCAGUCGAAGAUACCAGCUGGCUGCAACUGUUUAUUAAAAACACAGCACUGUGCAAACACGAAAGUGGACGUAUACGGUGUGACGCCUGCCCGGUGCCGGAAGGUUAAUUGAUGGGGUUAUCCGUAAGGAGAAGCUCUUGAUCGAAGCCCCGGUAAACGGCGGCCGUAACUAUAACGGUCCUAAGGUAGCGAAAUUCCUUGUCGGGUAAGUUCCGACCUGCACGAAUGGCGUAAUGAUGGCCAGGCUGUCUCCACCCGAGACUCAGUGAAAUUGAACUCGCUGUGAAGAUGCAGUGUACCCGCGGCAAGACGGAAAGACCCCGUGAACCUUUACUAUAGCUUGACACUGAACAUUGAGCCUUGAUGUGUAGGAUAGGUGGGAGGCUUUGAAGCGUGGACGCCAGUCUGCGUGGAGCCAACCUUGAAAUACCACCCUUUAAUGUUUGAUGUUCUAACGUGGGCCCCUGACCGGGGUUGCGGACAGUGUCUGGUGGGUAGUUUGACUGGGGCGGUCUCCUCCCAAAGCGUAACGGAGGAGCACGAAGGUUAGCUAAUCCUGGUCGGACAUCAGGAGGUUAGUGCAAUGGCAUAAGCUAGCUUGACUGCGAGCGUGACGGCGCGAGCAGGUGCGAAAGCAGGUCAUAGUGAUCCGGUGGUUCUGAAUGGAAGGGCCAUCGCUCAACGGAUAAAAGGUACUCCGGGGAUAACAGGCUGAUACCGCCCAAGAGUUCAUAUCGACGGCGGUGUUUGGCACCUCGAUGUCGGCUCAUCACAUCCUGGGGCUGAAGUAGGUCCCAAGGGUAUGGCUGUUCGCCAUUUAAAGUGGUACGCGAGCUGGGUUUAGAACGUCGUGAGACAGUUCGGUCCCUAUCUGCCGUGGGCGCUGGAGAAUUGAGGGGGGCUGCUCCUAGUACGAGAGGACCGGAGUGGACGCAUCACUGGUGUUCGGGUUGUCAUGCCAAUGGCACUGCCCGGUAGCUAAAUGCGGAAGAGAUAAGUGCUGAAAGCAUCUAAGCACGAAACUUGCCCCGAGAUGAGUUCUCCCUGAGACUAUAAGUCUCCUGAAGGAACGUUGAAGACGACGACGUUGAUAGGCCGGGUGUGUAAGCGCAGCGAUGCGUUGAGCUAACCGGUACUAAUGAACCGUGAGGCUUAACCUU
rnacentral:rRNA from 1 species